rnacentral:lncRNA from 1 species
AUGAAGGGUUUCGAUGUCCCUUCUUUCCCCAUCUCUCUUCUGUCUCCUCUCUCUGUACCUUUCAUCUUCCCUCCUAUCACGCAGUUGCACUUUGUCAUCCUUAAAGUUUCUGUCCUCCCUAAAUUCAUCCUUCCCAUCUCUCAAUCUUGUGGCCUGUCUGUUAUCUUCACUGUGCCUUUCCCGUUGUUUCUCAUCCCCCUUCCUCAUGAAACUAUCAACUUCCCUGUCUCUGUAUCUAUGUCUAUCUUCAUCUCUGUAUCGUUGCCAGUGUUGAUCUUUCUCCCUUGUAUUUUUGCUCCUGGUGUCUUCCUCACUUUUGCUCUGUUGAUAUAUAAACUCUUUCUUCUCUCUGUCCCUGACCUUCUCCCUUCUAAUCUCUCUCUCAUCAUUGUCUCCCUCACUCUUUGUGUCUCUCCUUCCGUCUCUUUGAGUUUUGUCCCUCUCCCUGCUAUCUGUGUACAUCUCUUUAGCUUUUCUUCUGUGUGGCGAAGGAAUUCUUGCUUCUCUAUCACUAAUAUACGUUCUUGGUUUAUCUCUUCUAUAAGUUGUAUCUUUGUCUCUCAUGUCCCUCAAAGCAAACUCUUUUCCUUGCCUGUUUCUAAACCCAUCAUCAAACAUUCUGUAUUGUUCCCUGUCCCGAAACCUCUCAUUGGCUACAGACCUUCCUCCACUGGUUUUGUCUUCAUCCUUCAGCCUGACUCUGGUCUCUUCUCUUUGCCUUUCUCUGUAUUUUUCUCUUUCCCAUUUUCUCUCUCCCUCAGGCUCCCAUUCAUAUAUCUCACCCCUCCUGGGCCUAUCUUUUUCCCUUCUUCCCCCUCUAUCUUCAAUCGUCUCUAUACUGGACACAACUCUUCUGUCCAAAUCAGCGUCACCUUUUCUCAUUCUGGGAAAAGUGUCACCUUUUUUAAACCCUCCUUUAACUUCUCGCCCAGUCUCUUCCACAUUUUCUGGUGUCCUCCCAUUCUUCCUUCUCUCUUCUUCUCUUUUCCUUUCUCUCUCCUUCCAUUCUCUAUCCUCUUCUCUCAGCCUGGAUCCUUUAUCUUUUUCAUAGUAUCUAUCAAAAGUGUCUCUUGUUUUUUCUCUCAUUUUCAAAUGUUCACUCUCCGCUCUUCGGAUUGCCUCACAGUCUCUCUCCGGGGGUGCUCUCUUUGCUGGUUUGGGGCUUGGAUCUCGAGACAUUUUUCCACCUGGUAG